rnacentral:rRNA from 1 species
AACAGGAUUAGAUACCCUGGUAGUCCACGCCGUAAACGAUGUCAACUAGUUGUUCGUGUCAUUAAGACGUGAGUAACGCAGCUAACGCACUAAGUUGACCGCCUGGGGAGUACGGCCGCAAGGUUAAAACUCAAAUGAAUUGACGGGGGCCCGCACAAGCGGUGGAGCAUGUGGUUUAAUUCGAUGCAACGCGAAGAACCUUACCAUCCCUUGACAUCCAGUGAAUUUUUCAGAGAUGAAUUAGUGCCUUCGGGAACACUGAGACAGGUGCUGCAUGGCUGUCGUCAGCUCGUGUUGUGAGAUGUUGGGUUAAGUCCCGCAACGAGCGCAACCCUUAUCCUUAGUUGCCAGCACGUAAAGGUGGGAACUCUGGGGAGACUGCCGGUGAUAAACCGGAGGAAGGUGGGGACGACGUCAAGUCAUCAUGGCCCUUACGGGAUGGGCUACACACGUGCUACAAUGGCGCAUACAAAGGGCAGCAAGCCAGCGAUGGUUAGCGAAUCUCAUAAAGUGCGUCGUAGUCCGGAUUGGAGUCUGCAACUCGACUCCAUGAAGUCGGAAUCGCUAGUAAUCGUGGAUCAGAAUGCCACGGUGAAUACGUUCCCGGGCCUUGUACACACCGCCCGUCACACCAUGGGAGUGGGCUGCACCAGAAGUGGUUAGUUUAACCUUCGGGAGAACGAUCACCACGGUGUGGUUCAUGACUGGGGUGAAGUCGUAACAAGGUAACC